rnacentral:tRNA from 1 species
GGCUCGGUAGCUUAGUUGGUCAAGCACUUGUCUAGCGAAUAAGGGUCGUGAGUUCAAAUCUCACAUGAGCUG